GGUGUGAGAUAGGUGAGUUUAAAAAGAGCUCCAGUGUUUCUUUAGUCACUUAUUUUUUUUGGACUGGUUCAGUUCUGUGGGUUUUUGUAGGAGCUUAAAGAAGAGUUUGCUGCAUCAUAUCUUAACAACUGAGGCUGGAGCUAUGGGGUUUCUCUUAGGAUGGUUCCUGUUGACUCUGCUAGCUGUUGGAAGACCUCAAGCAAAUGCUUACAGUAUUGGAUCAGUUGAGAAGUAUGGAGGCAAUGAAGUGCCAGUUGCAGGCUAUCAACCGUUGCCCCAGAUGCCCAGCUUCGCACCCCAGCAGCAACCUCAGCAGCAGUUGCCCCAGAUGCCUAGCUUCCAACCCAAGCAGCAACCUCAGCAGCAGUUGCCCCAGGUGCCUAGCUUCCCAGCCAAGCAGCAACCUCAGCAGCAGUUGCCCCAGGUGCCUAGCUUCCCAGCCAAGCAGCAACGGCAGCAGCAGGUGGCGCAGGUGCCUAGCUUCCCAGCCAAGCAGCAACGGCAGCAGCAGGUGGCGCAGGUGCCUAGCUUCCCAGCCAAGCAGCAACGGCAGCAGCAGGUGGCACAGGUGCCUAGCUUCCCAGCCAAGCAGCAACGGCAGCAGCAGGUGGCGCAGGUGCCUAGCUUCCCAGCCAAGCAGCAACGGCAGCAGCAGGUGGCGCAGGUGCCUAGCUUCCCAGCCAAGCAGCAACGGCAGCAGCAGGUGGCGCAGGUGCCUAGCUUCCCAGCCAAGCAGCAACGGCAGCAGCAGGUGGCGCAGGUGCCUAGGUUCCCAGCCAAGCAGCAACGGCAGCAGCAGGUGGCGCAGGUGCCUAGGUUCCCAGCCAAGCAGCAACGGCAGCAGCAGGUGGCGCAGGUGCCUAGGUUCCCAGCCAAGCAGCAACGGCAGCGGCAGGUGGCGCAGGUGCCUAGGUUCCCAGCCAAGCAGCAACAGCAGCGGCAGGUGGCGCAGGUGCCUAGGUUCCCAGCCAAGCAGCAACAGCAGCGGCAGGUGUCGCAGGUGCCUAGCUUCCCAGCCAAGCAGCAACGGCAGCGGCAGGUGUCGCAGGUGCCUAGCUUCCCAGCCAAGCAGCAACGGCAGCGGCAGGUGUCGCAGGUGCCUAGCUUCCCAGCCAAGCAGCAACAGCAGCGGCAGGUGUCGCAGGUGCCUAGCUUCCCAGCCAAGCAGCAGCGGCAGAUGUCGCAGGUGCCUAGCUUCCCAGCCAAGCAGCAGCGGCAGAUGCCGCAGGUGCCUAGCUUCCCAGCCAAGCAGCAGCGGCAGAUGCCGCAGGUGCCUAGCUUCCCAGCCAAACAGCAGCGGCAGGUGCCUAGCUUCCCAGCCAAGCGGCAGCGGCAGAUGCCGCAGGUGCCUAGCUUCCCAGCCAAGCGGCAGCGGCAGAUGCCGCAGGUGCCUAGCUUCCCAGCCAAUCGGCAACGGCAGAUGCCGCAGGUGCCUAGCUUCCCAGCCAAUCGGCAACGGCAGAUGCCGCAGGUGCCUAGCUUCCCAGCCAAGCGGCAACGGCAGAUGCCGCAGGUGCCUAGCUACCCAGCCAAGCGGCAACGGCAGAUGCCGCAGGUGCCUAGCUACCCAGCCAAGCAACAGUCCCGCUGUGUUCACGAGUUGCCCCAGCAGCCACGCUACAUGCCCAAGAUGGCCAAGUUGCCCCAGCAGCCACGCUACAUGCCCAAGAUGGCCAAGUUGCCCCAGCAGCCACGCUACAUGCCCAAGAUGGCCAAGUUGCCCCAGCAGCCACGCUACGGGCCAAAGCUGCUGCGCAGGCAGUAGAUGCCCCUGAAAUGGGUACGGCACAACGGCUGGAGUUGGGACAACAUUGGGAACCACAACGCUGGAGGUUCCUCAAGACUGCUUUCAACCGGGCCAUUGUACUGACUUGUGAAAUGAAAAUAAACAUUGUGUUUAAUCAA